rnacentral:rRNA from 1 species
UACGAAGGUGGCAAGCGUUACUCGGAAUUACUAGGCGUAAAGGGCAGGUAGGUGGUUUGGUUAGUCUGUUGUGAAAGCUCCCGGCUUAACUGGGAGAGGUCAACGGAUACUGCCAGACUUGAGUAUAGGAGAGGUUACUGGAAUUCCCGGUGUAGCGGUGAAAUGCGUAGAGAUCAUGAGGAAGACCAGUGGCGAAGGCGGGUCUCUGGACAGUUCCUGACACUGAGACACGAAGGCCAGGGGAGCAAACGGG